CAGCUACUCCCUCCGUUCAGAAUUACUCGUCCAAGAAAUGAAUGUAUCUAGAUGUAUUUUAAUUGUAGAUACAUCUAUUUUUGUGACAAGUAAUUCCGAACGGAGGGAGUACUUA
rnacentral:pre_miRNA from 1 species